AGAGUUUGAUCCUGGCUCAGGAUGAACGCUGGCUACAGGCUUAACACAUGCAAGUCGAGGGGAAACGACGGGGAAGCUUGCUUCCCCGGGCGUCGACCGGCGCACGGGUGAGUAACGCGUAUCCAACCUGCCUCUGACUGAGGGAUAACCCGUCGAAAGUCGGCCUAAUACCUCAUGGCAUCGUCUGCGGGCAUCCAACGACGAUUAAAGAUUUCAUCGGUCAGGGAUGGGGAUGCGUCUGAUUAGCUUGUUGGCGGGGUAACGGCCCACCAAGGCGACGAUCAGUAGGGGUUCUGAGAGGAAGGUCCCCCACAUUGGAACUGAGACACGGUCCAAACUCCUACGGGAGGCAGCAGUGAGGAAUAUUGGUCAAUGGACGGAAGUCUGAACCAGCCAAGUAGCGUGCAGGAUGACGGCCCUAUGGGUUGUAAACUGCUUUUGUAUGGGGAUAAAGUUAGGGACGUGUCCCUAUUUGCAGGUACCAUACGAAUAAGGACCGGCUAAUUCCGUGCCAGCAGCCGCGGUAAUACGGAAGGUCCAGGCGUUAUCCGGAUUUAUUGGGUUUAAAGGGAGCGUAGGCUGGAGAUUAAGUGUGUUGUGAAAUGUAGACGCUCAACGUCUGACUUGCAGCGCAUACUGGUUUCCUUGAGUACGCACAACGUUGGCGGAAUUCGUCGUGUAGCGGUGAAAUGCUUAGAUAUGACGAAGAACUCCGAUUGCGAAGGCAGCUGACGGGAGCGCAACUGACGCUUAAGCUCGAAGGUGCGGGUAUCGAACAGGAUUAGAUACCCUGGUAGUCCGCACGGUAAACGAUGGAUGCCCGCUGUUAGCGCCUGGCGUCAGCGGCUAAGCGAAAGCAUUAAGCAUCCCACCUGGGGAGUACGCCGGCAACGGUGAAACUCAAAGGAAUUGACGGGGGCCCG
rnacentral:rRNA from 1 species